rnacentral:misc_RNA from 1 species
CUGAGUUUUUAACUCCAAACCAUUGUGAACUUACCACUGUUGCCUCGGCGGCAGUCCUCUGUAAAAGGAGGCGGCCGCCGGUGGACUACUAAACUAUUGUUAAUUUUUGUCAUUCUGAAUAACAAACUUAAUAAGUUA